UGGUUGAAGAAGAGGCUGCCCGCUUCUCACCUGAGUUAGACGCUCGUACGAGUUGUUUACAGGUUUGACACGUUGAAUUGUAACGCAUACACUUUGCGUUUGCACAUAUAGCGGGCGGACAUUUCUUACAUGUCCGUCCUUUUUUUAUGGA
rnacentral:sRNA from 1 species